CCUACGGGAGGCAGCAGUGGGGAAUAUUGCACAAUGGGGGAAACCCUGAUGCAGCGACGUCGCGUGAGUGAUGAAGUAUUUCGGUAUGUAAAGCUCUAUCAGCAGGGAAGAAAAUGACGGUACCUGACUAAGAAGCCCCGGCUAACUCCGUGCCAGCAGCCGCGGUCAUACGUAGGGGGCAAGCGUUAUCCGGAUUUACUGGGUGUAAAGGGAGCGUAGACGGCGGUGCAAGCCAGAUGUGAAAGCCCGGGGCUCAACCCCGGGACUGCUCUGGAAACUGUAAAGCUGGAGUGCAGGAGAGGGAAGCGGAAUUCCUGGUGUAGCAGUGAAAUGCGUAGAUAUUAGGAGGAACACCAGUGGCGAAGGCGGCUUACUGGACUGCAACUGACGUUGAGGCUCGAAGGCGUGGGGAGCAAACGGGAUUAGAUACCCGAGUAGUC
rnacentral:rRNA from 1 species